GAGUUUGAUCCUGGCUCAGGACGAACGCUGGCGGCGCGCCUAACACAUGCAAGUCGAACGGAGCUUAGAGAGCUUGCUUUUUAAGCUUAGUGGCGAACGGGUGAGUAACGCGUGAGUAACCUGCCCUAGAGUGGGGGACAACAGUUGGAAACGACUGCUAAUACCGCAUAAGCCCACGACCCGGCAUCGGGUAGAGGGAAAAGGAGUAAUCCGCUUUGAGAUGGCCUCGCGUCCGAUUAGCUAGUUGGUGAGGUAAUGGCCCACCAAGGCGACGAUCGGUAGCCGGACUGAGAGGUUGAACGGCCACAUUGGGACUGAGACACGGCCCAGACUCCUACGGGAGGCAGCAGUGGGGAAUAUUGCACAAUGGGGGAAACCCUGAUGCAGCGACGCCGCGUGGAGGAAGAAGGUCUUCGGAUUGUAAACUCCUGUUGUUGAGGAAGAUAAUGACGGUACUCAACAAGGAAGUGACGGCUAACUACGUGCCAGCCGCCGCGGUAAUUC
rnacentral:rRNA from 1 species